rnacentral:rRNA from 1 species
UACAGAGGUCCCAAGCGUUGUUCGGAUUCAUUGGGCGUAAAGGGUGCGUAGGCGGCGCGGUAAGUCGGGUGUGAAAUCUCGGGGCUUAACUCCGAAACUGCAUUCGAUACUGCCGUGCUUGAGGACUGGAGAGGAGACUGGAAUUUACGGUGUAGCGGUGAAAUGCGUAGAUAUCGUAAGGAAGACCAGUGGCGAAGGCGAGUCUCUGGACAGUUCCUGACGCUGAGGCACGAAGGCCAGGGGAGCAAACGGG